UAGGGAAUAUUGCAAAAUGGGCGAAAGCCCGAUGCAGCAACGCCGCGUGGGCGAUGAAGGCCUUCGGGUCGUAAAGCCCUUUUUGAGGGGAUGAGGAAGGACAGUACCCUCAGAAUAAGCCUCGGCUAACUACGUGCCAGCAGCCGCGGUAAAACGUAGAAGGCGAGCGUUAUCCGGAUUUACUGGGCGUAAAGCGCGUGCAGGCGGAUUGGAGAGUUGGAUGUGAAAGCUCCCGGCUUAACUGGGAGAGGUCGUUCAAUACUUCCAGUCUUGAGUGCAGUAGAGGGAAGUGGAAUUCCGGGUGUAGUGGUGAAAUGCGUAGAUAUCCGGAGGAACACCAGUGGCGAAAGCGGCUUCCUGGACUGUAACUGACGCUCAGACGCGAAAGCUAGGGUAGCAAACG
rnacentral:rRNA from 1 species